rnacentral:other from 1 species
AUUACCCUAGAGUGUACGUCAGGUGAUUUAUGUCCCUGAGCCGAUAAGUAAAAAAAUAAGGGUGAAUAUUCGGUAACUAUUGAGCAAGCUCAGCUUGUACUGAGAAGCCUACGGUUAUCUUAUUCUCCCGCCUUGAACCUGCUGGUUCAAGGGCUACGAUUACCAACGGCACUCCGGGGUAUCU